UUUCCAGCUAGAUCAACAAAUGAUGCAACAAUAGAACCACGUGAAAAGGUCAAUGUUAAUGUUUAGAAAGUUUUUAAUAACAAUGUGCCCAUUUCUCAAGAAUAAACUAAUUUAGAUCAGUUUGGAGUUGAUAUUUAGACAGCAGGCUCCUCUGGGCGCGGUGCCCUGCAUGUUUUAGACAUUUCUCUGCUCCUGAUUCAGCCUGUUAAUCUGCCAUCAGUAGAUUCAGGUGAGCUGAAGCAGAGAAACAUGUCAAAUAGAGGAGGUCAGGUCCAGUGGACCCACUGCCAUGCUGCUACUUUUAGAAACAUUUCUUCUCCAACACACCUGAAUCAAAUGAAUGGCUCGUUACCACGCCUCUGUCUUUGGCCUUAUUAAGGUAAUAAUAACUUAAUAAUGUUUCACACAUAACUGUUUUUGUUGUUACUGUUGGCUAUAAGAAAAUGACAGAAAAAAAUUAGUUGGUAAGAAAACAAAUGCAUUUUAUUGAAUGUUGCAUUCAAUAUUUACUGAAAAUGAAGACAAGGAUGUAGUUUGCAGAUUUAUGACAAAAUAAUAUUUGUUCCAUUGGUGCCCUUCUGUUAUGGAUUUUCAAAGCAGAUAUUUCAUCAAAACCAAGAUAACUGUUAAAACUGAGAUUUUCAUUAAAUUUAUAGUUAUUUUUAUGUAAUAUUUGUCCAAAGCUGUGGAAGCGCCAAAGAGCCACAUGAGGUCUGGAGCCGGCGUUGUCAACCAUUGAGAACGAUGAGAUGAACCCACAACAAUAACAGGAAGACUUUCAUUACGUUCCUUGGUUUUCUUCACGGCUUUGGAGAGCAGAACAAGUCACCGUCCAGGAAUAUUCUCUUUCUUGUCUGACAUACCUCACUUUUUGAAAAGGACUAAAAAAACGAAUCUUACUCAGUUAUGAAAACACUGAAACAGUGACUGCCACAGCAUUGAACCAGACGUUCAGUUUAGUUGCUGUUUUUGAUUUGAACUCUGAACUUGAGCCAUUUUAGAAGAUCUUUCAUCUGGAUAAGAAGGACUUUUAUCUUUUAUCUCACUCAUAUGCUUGGCUAGACUGAAAUAGAUUCUUAUUAGACUGAACGGGAUAAAACGGUCAUGCUAUGCCUUUAUUUUCCUCAAUGAAAUAGAUUAUAUUUUAUUUUUCAAUGAUUAGAUACAACCCUCUAAGUUUUGAACAACACAUGGAGUCUGAGUGACCUGUUCUUUGUAUUUGCUUUGCUAAUUCUCACAGGUUUGCCAAUCUGCUGUAGACGUUUUGAUCUCGUUAUUUCCAGCCACUGCAUUUUGUUCUGUCUGCCUCUGUGUGCUAAGAUGCACAAUACCCCCAGAAGCAUUAGACACCGCUCCAAAUAAUUGAAUUGAAAUGGUCUUAAUACAAUUCCAAGGGUAUGCAUUUAAAAUAAAGCACCCAGGCAUUGCUUCUACAAACAUUUGGUUAAGAAUGGCUCAUGAUCAGGAGUUCAGUGGACUUCAGCGUGUUUCCAGCAUCCAGACGUUUCAUCACUAACUACAAUCCAAAGGGCAGUGAUAUUUUAGAGUGCACACUCCAGCUGCACUAUAAAGCAAUGAAAGGUGACCUGUGAAGUGACAAAUCACACCUCUCUCUCCUUAGUAAUUUUGAGCCUGGGUGAACCAGUUGUCAGGUAAAUGUAACAACUUUAGAAAAUGUGCUUUAAUUUUUUAUUAUUAUAAUGUUUGAAAUUUCACCAAAUCCUGAUUAACACUGAGGAAUCCUAUUUCUUUCUUAUAUUUUAAGAAUAUUAUUAUUUUACUUAUUUUGAUAAGCACUAGUACCUGUACUGUCACUUUAAGAGAUUGUCUUAUGACAUCAGCACUGUACUACCUUCAGUUGGCGCUAGGCUGCCUGCGAAGAGGGGAAUUCCGACUCCUGUGAAUGGAAGAGCUGCAUCUUAAAGGGCAUUUUUAUUUCUAUUUGUGCAGGCCUCUGCCAGCAACCUGCAUUAAAGAACAACGAACAACUCCUGUGGUCUGACUCCCUUCUCCAUCUGAACACAACGCAGAACACAUCAAGGUUAACCGACUGUAUAAGAGUAGGAUAUCAGAAAAGAACACUAAUAGUAUACACCGGUUACAUAAACAACAUAACCCUGAAUGCAAUGUGUCAAGUGCAACAUUAGGUGCAGAGAGGAGCGUAAUGAGGGGCUGUUUUCAGAGGUUGGUUUUACUGCUUGGUUCCAUUACAAGGAGCAAUUUUAAUAUUUCAUCACAGUCAUUUUAGACAGUUUCAUGACUCUUAAGACAGGGCCGGGAUGGACUUUCCUGUUUCAAUAUGAGUCAUUGCACCAAAGGAGCAUCUGAAUGGGUUUGGUGUUGUCUGGCCUCCAUAUGUUCUUCACCUGAACCAGUUCCUCCAACAUCAGUAGCUGCGUUUCCAUUGACCAUGAAACUGGGCAAACUGAAAUUCUGAAAAUAUAUUUGCUUUGUGGGAACACGGCAAUAAAUUUUUUUUGAUAAAACGUUUUUCAGUAAGAUCAAAACACUUUCUUCGUAUCACAAUGCACGCGAUCAACAGCCGGAUGUACUACUGGGGAAAACCAUGAAGAAGAAGACAACAGGAAGCGACCAUUUGUUUUUGUUUUUCAGACAGUGUGCAGCCGGCUCCACCAGCUCUCACAGCAGCUGCAUGGUUCAUAAAAUGUUGUGUGUCUGGAAAAUCACCAGUUUCUGCAAAUUCAAAUUCUAUUGAAGCAGAAUUACCAUUUCAAACAAACAGACCAUAUAUUUUGUAAACCUACAGUUUAUUGUCUCAUAAUGACAUGAGAUCGAUCACAUUUAAAAGAUAAAAAGUACCAAUAACUUUUUGUCCCCUGAUCUAAAUAAAAAUCACUGAAAAUCAUGCAUGCUA